rnacentral:rRNA from 1 species
UACGUAGGGUCCGAGCGUUGUCCGGAAUUACUGGGCGUAAAGAGCUCGUAGGUGGUUUGUCGCGUUGUUCGUGAAAACUCACAGCUCAACUGUGGGCGUGCGGGCGAUACGGGCAGACUAGAGUACUGCAGGGGAGACUGGAAUUCCUGGUGUAGCGGUGGAAUGCGCAGAUAUCAGGAGGAACACCGGUGGCGAAGGCGGGUCUCUGGGCAGUAACUGACGCUGAGGCGCGACAGCGUGGGGAGCAAACAGG